GAGCCAGAGGGAGGCAGAGAGAGCCACAUAAUGGGAGGAGAACCAGAGAAAACUGCAGGAGAUCCACAGACUCAAACAACUGCUGGAUCUACUGAUGGUGGACCUACAACUGGCCCACAAGUGGGAGAAGAGGAACCUCAGAAAGAUAGAGAGAACGUAUCAGAGAGAGGCUGAGGAGGGCCAUAAUAUCGUCCACAUAGUCAUCCCUGGACCCAUAAGGCUAACCAUGACCCGGGCAGAGAGAGAGAGGAAGGAGCUCCUGAAGACUGAGGAGAGAAGGAAUAAGAUGGAUGAUUGCAGUGGAGAGAGCAGUCCCUGCUUAAUAAACGGACUCAUCAGAAACUUAAAGAGGAGAGGGAGAGGAUGAAGGAACAGUACCUAAAAAAACAAGCAAGAGAUUUAAGAUGGGGUAAAGAAUGUUUAAAAAUGUAUUCAUGUUUUACACUGUUAUAUAUAUGUUAUAUAGCAUUCCUGCUGUCUGUUGAGAGCUGGAACUCGACGAAGCCACAGUACCACUGAGGACCACUUCUCUACUCAAUCUUUACUAAUGAUUUACCUUCAGUAAUGAACAAAGCAAGAGUGGUCAUGUAUGCUGAUGAUUCUGCAAUGUAUAGUGCAGCAUCAGAAUGUAAUGAGCUAACAAAUGUACUGAGCAGUGUCCGGUUAUAUGGUCAAUCCCUGGUCCUAUCACACUUAGAGUACUGUCCAGUUAUAUGGUCAAUCCC